AGUCGACAACAUCACAGGGUUGACGAUGCUGGGAAAUGUCAAGUGAAACCCCGCCCCAUCUUCUGUUUCUAUGCGACCCACAUCCGUUCUUAUAAUACAUCCAUGCCCAGAUCCCCUGUGCCGCGUUACGUUAUAUGGAAUUAUCCAUUUUCAAAACUAGAGACGUUUGAACUACAUCAACGCUACAGUAGCAAAGACGACCCGCGACACUGAAGCUAAAUAACACGGGAAAAGGCAUCCAACAGUCGUCACUUAAGGGCGAAGAUGAAUUCAUUAUCUGUGCUGUGUCUGUCACUUCUCUUGUUUCAUACUCAUUUUUCACUGGCCAGGAAAGGAGGCAGCUUUGGGAAAGGCAGCUUCAGCUCAAAGAAGUCCUCCCCACACAACAGAGUUAGCACCAACACUAACAGUAAUGCAAAUAAAAAAAAUAAUCAGGGCUCCAGCUCUCAGGGUGGAUACCCCAAACAGCCUGGACAACCCAAUCAGGGAGGCUACCCUAUGCAAUCAGGCAGACCUGGGUAUCCAGGUAAUUACCCCCAACAGCCAGGUGGAGGCUACCAUAACCAGUUUCCAGCACGGGGCUCCCCGUACAGUCAUGGUGGUUAUGGAGGUGGAUACAUGAACUACAACCCAAACAACAAAGUCCUGAGCCCUCGCUAUGGGGGCAGCUUUGGAUAUGGGGGCCAUGGUGCUGGGGGCGGCUCUCCCUUUUCCCACUCAGUUCAGUCGAUGGGCAUGUAUCCCUCUGAUAAAUCCAGAGGGUUUGGACGCAGUGCAGUGAUGGCAGCAGCUGGAGGGGCUAUGGCAGGGAUGGCCCUGGGCUACGGGCUAGGAAGGUUCCCCCGUCCCCACUACCAGUUCCACAACAGCCAAGAGGAGCAAUACUACAACAACUACAUGUACAGGAAAUAUGGCACCAAGUCUACUGAUAGCAAUGACUACAGCAGAGACUACAUCUACAGCAAACCCUCUGAAACCUAUGACAGCUACAUGGACUCCUGCAUGAAGAGAACCGACAUUCUGCCUGCGGCUAAUCAAAAGCCAAACAACAAACCAGCUGUUACCACCACAACUUCUGUCACCCCGGCCCCAGACACUGGCACAGGUAGCAACACAACGGAAACCAACAACACUGCAGCAGAUAACUCCUCAACCAUUGCACCUUCAAGUACACAACCCCUAAAUCAGCCUGUAGCCAAUCCUGUGCCAACAGCUUCACAGGCUGUCAGUAGUGCUGAAGACGGUGAUACAGUUAGCAUUGUGGAGAUCGGCUACCCGGCACUGAUUGAGCAGAUGAAGGCCAGGAGAUGUGUUGAGCUGUACAUGGUCUACUCUGAAAAGUACUUGAAGAGAGUGACGGGUAGCGUGCAGGGAUUGAGUAUGGGCUCGCGAGGGCUUUUAGCUGUGGUCAUUAGUACUACACUGAUGCUAUUGAAUAGCAACAUGCUAGUGCUGCUGCGCUGAGGCUUUUAUUAGCAGUGGAAGUGAUGGAUGAUGUUUUAAAGGAAUUAAGGUAAUGGGUGGAAAUGAUUAGGAAGAGAGGAACCUCUUGCCUUUUAAGGAGUUUCUUUACUGUGUGUGGAUUUCUACAUUUUUAUUUUUUAAUAUUUAAGCAAUACAUUCUCAUGUAUGUGCUUUUAACAAACAACAAUAAUAGACAUGCGCUUUUUAAGUAUGAUAUGAGUAUGUUAACUACAGGGAGGUUGAUGUUGGAGGACUGUCUGAUUCAAGGACAGUUCAACGAAUUGGUUAGGGAAUAGUGUUUUAAAACUAUCAAUAAAAACUGGACUUUCAUUUGUGAAAUAUUCUAUUAGUCUACUAUUACAAAUAUAACUGCUUCAGACUGAAAAGUUCUACACUAAGAUCAUGACUAUUUGUAAUGGAUCAAUAUCUACUCAUUUCAUAUAAGGUCUAUUGAAACACAGAAACUCAAACCAAAAAGACUAUAAUUUUAUUUGGAUAAACAGACCCUCUAAACAUACAGACAAUAGUAUGCAUGCUGUCAUCCUAACACUUCUUAAAAUAUUUAUUACUAUUUGGAAUCAAAACAAAAUAAAUUGCGCUUUUCCUGAAUACUUAUGUAUGUUGUUUUAACCUUUUCCAUGUGUACUGCCCUUGCCUUUUACAGUGUGUGUAUUUUCAGAUUUUUUUGUAUACACUUGCCUCUUCCUCCCUUCUAUCCAAUUUUUUGUCUCCCUCUUUUGUCUCUGGGCUAUUCCCUGAGCCAAAUUCAUCUCCAAAUCCUACUGAAUGUCAUCUUUCAUUAUCAGUCGAGUUAAUGGUUACUAAGCCUGCAUAUCAAGAUAUGUACAGUACAGUACAUAGGAUUUAUACAAUCAUUUUUCUAAUCAUAAAAGCUGAUUACUUAAAAAAAAAAAACUAUGUAAAAGGUACUCUCUGGAGUUUAAUUGCAAACAGUUCAAAUUCAAAAUGUCUCCACAGGGUAUGAAAAAUUGUUAUCUGAAAAAUAAAGACUGUCAGACAAAUGUAGCUGAGUAAAAAGUACAAUAUUUCCCUCUGAAAUGUAGUGGAGUAGACAUAAAAAGUAGCAAAAAAUUUAACUACUCAAGUACAAGUACCGUAAAUUUGUACUUUGUAGUAAAUGUACUUAAUUACAUUCCACCACGGCAGAGUGCCGUCAUGACCACUAUAACCAGGCGAUUCACAUUUCAGCAGCAUUCACUAAACUACAAUUACAACAACCACUUUUUAUUGUUUGACUGUAGAACAAUCUGAUCAAAAACCCACAGUGUACAUUUUAAUGUGUUGGUAUAUGUAUCCUAUGUUAUCUGGCUUUGAAUGUAUUUGAAUGUGCACAUAUACCGCUUUUAAGGACAUGGAUGCCUUUUACUCUGAGGGAUCACAUUUACUGUACUGCUGCAGCUUUUACUGACUACUGAGGCUUGACUUGCACUUUGCUUGUCUUGUCAAAUAAACUUAUAAACUUUACUAAUA